rnacentral:rRNA from 1 species
AUGGCGAAGGCGAGGCCGCGCUCGGAGCGAUCCAGUCACCGCCGCCGCAUCCUCCUCCUCGUAGUUUCUCUCCUGUCGGCGGUUCUCCUCCUUCCGGCGGCGACGGCCUCCGCGGCGGUGGCGGUGGCGGCGGAGGGGGACGGGGAGAACAGGUCGCGCGGGGCGGCGACGCAGUGGGCGACGGGGAAGGACGAGGGGGAGCUGGCCGCGGAGCGGGAGGCCGCUGGCGGGGGCUCGGUGGUGGAGGACGACUUCGCGGGCGGCUUCGGCUCCCUCGACAGCAUGCUGCAGUGGGCCAUCGGGAAUUCAGAUCCAGGAAGGCUGAAAGAAGAGGCAGCGGAUGUGCAGAAGUUGUCUGAGGAUGAGCUGCUCAAGCGGCGGCAUGAGAUUAAGGACUUGAUGGAAAAGUUAAAGAUGCCAUCAGAUGCUGACUUAAUGAAGAUUGCAAUUGCUGACUUAAAUAAUGCUUCCAUUUCACUGGAGGAUCGCCAGCGUGCAUUGCAAGAGCUUUUAAUUCUUGUCGAGCCCAUUGAUAAUGCAAAUGACCUUGACAAAAUUGGGGGCCUUGUUCCUGUGAUUCAAGAUCUUAAUAAUGCAAAUGAAGAAAUACGGAUCACCUCUGCAUGGAUCCUGGGUACAGCCAGUCAGAAUAAUGCCCUUGUCCAAAGCCAGAUUCUUGGUUAUGGAGCUUUGGCAAGAUUAGUGAAGAUGGGUUAUUCCACUUCGGCAAAAGAAGCUGCGAAGGCAAUGUAUGCUAUAUCGGCUUUGAUCAGAAAUAACGUAAAUGGUCAGGAGGCAUUCACUUCGGAAAAUGGGAACGCAAUGUUGCAGCACAUACUAGGAAGCAACAGCGUUGAUGUUCGGCUUCAGAAGAAGGCGGUGUUUUUAAUAACUGACCUAGCAGACUUUCAGCUUAAUUCUGGAAGCUCAGGGCUCCCAUUCUUAAGUGAACGUGUUUUUCUGAAGUUAGUCACUGAUAUGUUAUCAACUUUUGACCUUGACCUGCAAGAAAAGGUUUUGUUGGCCAUUAGGAGUCUGCUGAAGCUUCCCUCGACGGACGCUAUGGACUUGGAGUCAUGCGGCCUAGACAGCGUGCUGUACAGACUGGGGGUGCAGCUGGAGGAGCUGCCAUCAGAGGAGCAGAAGGAGUACGCCGGGGAGGUUGACGCCCUCCGGAGAGAAGUAGAGAUGCUCUUCCAACAGAAGCUCAAGCCGGGUACAGCUACGGCGGCAUUACAGAUGCUCGGAUGA